AUUGAACGCUGGCGGCAGGCUUAACACAUGCAAGUCGAGCGGAUGAAGGGAGCUUGCACCUGGAUUCAGCGGCGGACGGGUGAGUAAUGCCUAGGAAUCUGCCUGGUAGUGGGGGAUAACGUCUGGAAACGGGCGCUAAUACCGCAUACGUCCUGAGGGAGCAAGCGGGGGAUCUUCGGACCUCAUGCUAUCAGAUGAGCCUAGGUCGGAUUAGCUAGUUGGUGGGGUAAAGGUCUACCAGGGCGACGAUCCGUAACUGGUUUGAGAGGAUGAUCAGGCACACUAGCACUAAGACACAAUACUAAGUCCAACGGGAGGGAGCAGUGAAAAGUAUUAAACAGUAGGCGGAAGCUUAAUCGAGCCAUACGGAGUGACUGAAGAAGAUCUUCAAAUUGUAGAACACUUUAAGUUAGAAGGAAGGGCAGUAAGUAAAUACGUUGCUGUUUUGACAUAACCAGCAGAGUAAACACCAGCUGACUUCGUG
rnacentral:rRNA from 1 species